rnacentral:rRNA from 1 species
CCUACGGGCGGCAGCAGUGGGGAAUAUUGGACAAUGGGCGAAAGCCUGAUCCAGCCAUGCCGCGUGUGUGAAGAAGGCCUUCGGGUUGUAAAGCACUUUCAGUGGGGAAGAAAGCCUUGGGGCCAAUACCCUCGAGGAAGGACAUCACCCACAGAAGAAGCACCGGCUAACUCCGUGCCAGCAGCCGCGGUAAUACGGAGGGUGCGAGCGUUAAUCGGAAUUACUGGGCGUAAAGCGCGCGUAGGCGGUCUGAUAAGCCGGUUGUGAAAGCCCCGGGCUCAACCUGGGAACGGCAUCCGGAACUGUCAGGCUAGAGUGCAGGAGAGGAAGGUAGAAUUCCCGGUGUAGCGGUGAAAUGCGUAGAGAUCGGGAGGAAUACCAGUGGCGAAGGCGGCCUUCUGGACUGACACUGACGCUGAGGUGCGAAAGCGUGGGUAGCAAACAGGAUUAGAUACCCUGGUAGUC